rnacentral:rRNA from 1 species
ACUCAAAGGAAUUGACGGGGGCCCGCACAAGCAGCGGAGCAUGUUGUUUAAUUCGAAGCAACGCGAAGAACCUUACCCAGACUUGACAUGCACUCGUAACCCCGGGAAACCGGGGCCCCCUUCGGGGCGAGUGCACAGGUGCUGCAUGGCUGUCGUCAGCUCGUGUCGUGAGAUGUUGGGUUAAGUCCCGCAACGAGCGCAACCCUUGUCCUGUGUUGCCAGCGGUUCGGCCGGGGACUCACGGGAUACUGCCGGUGACAAACCGGAGGAAGGUGAGGAUGACGUCAAGUCAUCAUGGCCCUUAUGUCUGGGGCUACAAACGUGCUACAAUGGCCGGUACAGAGGGCUGCAAGACCGCGAGGUGGAGCGAAUCCCAAAAAGCCGGUCCCAGUUCGGAUUGAAGGCUGAAACUCGCCUUCAUGAAGUCGGAGUUGCUAGUAAUCGCGGAUCAGCAACGCCGCGGUGAAUACGUUCCCGGGCCUUGUACACACCGCCCGU